AAAUGAAGGAGGGAGACGACUGCUGCGCUGAUGGACAGAACGAGCAGAGCAACUCCCUCGUGCUCGCGAGCUCUUUUAAAAUCUACACAUCCAGUAAUUCUUCAUUUACGAUGUUCAGUCUUGUAGAGUGGCUGCUAUUGGUUCUCAUUGGCUCAUCAGUGUCUGUUUCAUAUUUCAUCUCCUCUGAUUUCUGUGCAGAUACUUACUUGAUUUGUGUACUUCGUCCACCACUGCGGAAGAAUCAAGCAGGACAUCUCACAUGCAACAGCUCCUCCGCAAGUUCUUUAUGUGGACCGGGACUGCUGCUCUGCAGGAGGUAAAGGCAAGGCGGC